AUUUACCAUGUGUUGAACCUGGGAAUUUGAGACGUUUAUCACGCAGAGGCUAUUGUUCCCCGUAAGAUGCGGCCACGCACUCAUCUCUUGCCAAGACGCGCCAGCCGCUUUCAACACAGAGCGCUUCUCGCAACAAAUGCCCCCAGAAGAGUUUUGAAUUCCAGGCGUUUAUUCACACUGUUUUCAAUGCGAGCGACACAAAGAAUCAUCUGAUACGCUCGCACAAAUGCAGGUAUGUGUGCUGUCAUGGCCGCUGACUGUUUGCUUACUCUAGCAUGCAUUCGCGGUGUGAAGACUAUUGACUUGGAUAAUCCCUUUACACAAACUCAAGCACGUACAGUAAAGGUGGCCCUUUGGCAGAUGGACAUCAAAUCUGGGAACUAGUGGACAAUCCAUCAGGAGUCGGAGUCACUGAACAUCGUGGCUGUGUUGCCCGCUGCUUGUGUAUCAUACAUAUAAUGUAGUCAGUCUAAGCCAGGUUUUAACUGCUUCCAGAUCUGCACCUCUUCCUCUCUCGUACCUCUUCCCCCGACUCUGAUUUGCUGCCGCGACGUUUCGGUUGGAAAGCUUUCAAAGUGGAUGUGGAAAUGGACAACUUCAGCCAGUUUCAAAGAAAAGAAUCUCUGUGAGUGAGCAAAGGCAGCUGCGGAUGGUGACAGCCAUGCAGACAGCUGGGACUGCGGCUGAAUCGCUCAAUAACGUUCAACGCGAGACCCCUGUCAAGACUCAAGCGCGCCCAUUGAAGCCAUCAUGGGCCGGUCUACCGUGAAGGUAUUCAAGUGCGAUGCCAAAAAGGGGGAGCCACAGCAGAAAAGAAAAAGUGAUGAGUCACCAAACUUCCCAAAACCCCCCAACCCUCCCCUUCGUCGUUUACGGGAAACAAAAUGCAGGGUUUUUUUUUUUUCCCCGCUCUCCUGUGCUCCCUUUGCGGUGCUCAGACAUUCAUCUUCUUGACAUGCUGUCGGGUCAUAGCCAGGGUUAAUAGGUGUGUCGGUGAGCUUGUUUCAUCCGUCCCCGUGGGGGCUGCUCCGCCAAACACAUUUCAACUAUGUGAAGCAGACAAGUUUGUUAGGGCUGUGCGGGGGAGUUUGCGAAUAGUUAUCACUGGCUCGGGAAACAGAUAAGCCUUUGUUCUGAAGCAUUCCCAAAAAAUUUAUACAAGUUAGGCUUGGAUUAAUCAACUAAAGAAAAAUUAAUUUCAUCUUGUUUUUAUGAUUGUUGUUGUGGUUUGCCGUUUUGUCCAACACAAUUUGGAAUAAUCAGUCUAAUAAGUUCGAACCAUUUUAGGUUAUGACAUAACCAUAGUUUUUAGAAACACCUCUUGGUAUGACGCAUUGCAGUUCUAGAAAACAAACGACCUCCGCACAAUGUAGACAUCACUCUCACAUGUCCGAGGAGUUUCGGAUGUUUUCUGAACAAACAUCUUUCUGACAACCGGUUGCAAUUCUUACCACAGGAUGUCUUGUAAAGUUCAGCUUUCUUCAAAUGAUGGCAUACAGUGUGUGUGUGUGUGUGUGUGUCCCCGGUAAGGAUAUUCUCUGAAAGAGAAAGAAAGACUCGGUCAGUUUUCAACUUUCAAUACACCGUCGUCACAACGAUGUACAAAAAUGCUGUCUAACUAAAUGUGGCCUGAAAGAAGAGACAAUAUUUUCCAUACGUGAGGAUGAAUACCAUUCAGACUCAAUCAUGAAACACUGUUUGCAUUAUCUCCCUCCAAAUCGAUACACAAUAAUGAAGCAGUUCACAAUCUGCAUCUUUUAAAAAAUAUUUUAAUAGAAUACAUCGUACGGAGCAGAGAUGCCGAUGCAGAUGCAACUUACUUUGCUCCCGCCUGUGUGUGUAAGGUAAUUGUUCCGCUGAUACAAAUGCCCAAAAAUCAAUUUCCACAGGACUGGUGUUGGUUGACCCAGCCUCAGCCCAGUUUUCUUUUUUUUUUUUUUUUUCUUGAGUGUGCCCUGAAAAGGAAUUUUUAAUCAUCUCUGACAUUGUCCUCCCUUGACCAAACGUUGGUGCACAUGGGUGUGUGUGUGUGGUUGAUGCCACCACUGGGAAUUCUGAAAGCCUUGCGCAAAUCACAUUUACAUGGCAACAUGGAGAAACUGAAAUCUGAUUGGACGAUAAAAGAACGCAUGCCAGCUGCUUGGCCAUGACACAUGCUAUGAGAUGAUGGUAACAGACUCUUGGAAAUAAAUUCCAAGCAUUUCCCGAAGGUUGUAGGCAUGCUUCCGAUGGUCUUCAGGCCAGCAGAGAAGACCCUGACGGACGUGGCUGCAUGCUAACGCGUACUUACGAGGUAAAAGAUAAAGUCGAGGAGAUGGCUCGGAAUAGCAUGGCUUCUUUCGGUGUCACAAAAUAAAAUACAUAAAACGUCA